CACAGUGUAGCUUAAUACAAAGCAUCUGGCCUACACCCAGAAGAAUUCAUAACAAAUGAACACUUUGA
rnacentral:tRNA from 2 species